UAACACUGGAGAGAGAGACUGUGGAAUGGAAUGACUCUCCAGAGCUGCAGAUUGAAGGCAUAUUUUCAUCUGACUUUGAUCUCAAUGGCGGGAACACCUUCAUGGCCCCUUUAUAGCUGGAUGAUCAUUUCCUGUUCUCUCCACCAUGGCCACCUGGUCCAAGCCACCAUCUUCAUGCACCUGGAUACCUGCCAUAACCUCAGCUGACCUUUCCUGUGUCCAUUCUUGUUCCUUUGGGCCCAGUCUCCUCGCUCAUAGCAGCAGAAUGAGUCUAUUAAAAAGUGAAACAA
rnacentral:lncRNA from 1 species